rnacentral:rRNA from 1 species
AUUGAACGCUGGCGGCAUGCUUUACACAUGCAAGUCGAACGGUAACAGGGAGCUUGCUCCGCUGACGAGUGGCGAACGGGUGAGUAAUGCGUCGGAACGUGCCGAGUAGUGGGGGAUAACGCAUCGAAAGGUGUGCUAAUACCGCAUACGUACUGAGGUAGAAAGUGGGGGACCUUCGGGCCUCACGCUAUUCGAGCGGCCGACGUCUGAUUAGCUAGUUGGUGAGGUAAAGGCUCACCAAGGCGACGAUCAGUAGCGGGUCUGAGAGGAUGAUCCGCCACACUGGGACUGAGACACGGCCGAGACUCCUACGGGAGGCAGCAGUGGGGAAUUUUGGACAAUGGGCGAAAGCCUGAUUCAGCCAUGCCGCGUGCAGGAUGAAGGCCUUCGGGUUGUAAACUGCUUUUGUACGGAACGAAAAAGUUCUCUCUAAUACAGGGGGCGAAUGACGGUACCGUAAGAAUAAGCACCGGCUAACUACGUGCCAGCCGCCGCGGUAAUAC